UACGUAGGGGGCUAGCGUUGUCCGGAAUCAUUGGGCGUAAAGAGCGUGUAGGCGGUCCGGUAAGUCCGCUGUGAAAGUCGGGGGCUCAACCCUCGAAUGCCGGUGGAUACUGUCGGGCUAGAGUGCGGAAGAGGCGAGUGGAAUUCCUGGUGUAGCGGUGAAAUGCGUAGAUAUUGGGAGGAACACCGGUGGCGAAGGCGGCCCCCUGGACCGGUACUGACGCUGAGGCGCGAAAGCGUGGGUAGCAAACGGG
rnacentral:rRNA from 1 species